rnacentral:rRNA from 1 species
AUGGAUCUGUCGGCGAAGAUAAAGCGGACGGAACUCCCGGAAGACCUCGUCCUCGAGGUUCUCACACGUGUCGCUAAUGCAGCUGCCCUCGUCCGCUGUGCCACCGCGUGCAAGCGGUGGCGUGCCCUCGCCGCUAACCCCUCCUUCGUCCGCCGGCGUCACCAGGUGCUGAUGGGGCGCGCCCUCGUGGCUGACACCUCCUUGGUCCGCCGGCGUCACCAGGUGCUGAUGGCCGUCGUCAGCGUAUACGACGGCGAGUGGGCACUAUGCAAGGUGCUUCGACACUCAGACGUCGAUCCGAACCAGAACCGGCUGCUGCUCACCACUUGGAUGGGGCAGGGCGGCCCCAUCCUGAUGUUGUUCCCGGAGCUGGAGCAGGUUGGCGACAACGGCAUGCAGAACGAGGUGGUGGAGGCCGUCCUCAUUGAUGCCGAGUGGGGUGUUGAGAAGUUGGCCACGGUCCGGUACAUGAACGCCAACAUGACCUACCGGAUCAUUGGUCGUGGGUGGAGGGAAUUUGUUAGGGACUGCCGUAUCUCCCACGGAGAUCGGGUCGACAUCUACGUUGGCAGACGAGACACCGGCGAGCGCUGCCUGCUCUUCUUCAAUAGCAAGGGCGCCCAAGGUUGA